rnacentral:rRNA from 1 species
AACGAACGCUGGCGGCAUGCCUAACACAUGCAAGUCGAACGAGACCUUCGGGUCUAGUGGCGCACGGGUGCGUAACGCGUGGGAACCUGCCCUUAGGUUCGGAAUAACUCCCCGAAAGGGGUGCUAAUACCGGAUAAUGUCUUCGGACCAAAGAUUUAUCGACUUUGGAUGGGCCCGCGUUGGAUUAGCUAGUUGGUAGGGUAAAAGCCUACCAAGGCGACGAUCCAUAGCUGGUCUGAGAGGAUGAUCAGCCACACUGGGACUGAGACACGGCCCAGACUCCUACGGGAGGCAGCAGUGGGGAAUAUUGGACUACGGGCGAAAGCAUGAUCCAGCAAGGCCGGGUGAGUGAUGAAGGCCUUAGGGUUGUAAAGCUCUUUUACCCGGGAUGAUAAUGACAGUACCGGGAGAAUAAGCUCCGGCUAACUCCGUG